rnacentral:rRNA from 1 species
UGCCAAUUCUUAUGUUUCGUACAAUAGGAGAUGAGGUGUUGAGGUGUGGCGUGUUGUAUAGGAGUUGGACUUAAUUAUUCAUGAGUGAGUGCUCAUAGAAGGUGGAAAGCCUGUACAGUCCUGCGAACCUGUUUAACCGCGACACUGAAGAGUCAAGUUGUUUGAGAGUGCAACUUAAAGCUGGUGGUAAAUUUCAUCAAAGGCUAAAUAUAACAAGGGACUAAUAUCGAACAAGUACCAUGAGGGAAAGUUGAAAAGUACUCUGACGAGGGAGUUCAACAGUACGUGAAACCAUAUUGAGUAAAACAGAUAACUGUGUUGUUACGCGGUGUGCCUAUCAAAAGCAACAUUGGUGUUACCACUACCAUGAGUGUAGGCUGUUUAUUCAGCUGCGUUCUGGUGGUAAGAACAAUCAAUAAUGCUGUGUAUUAGUGCACACGCGACCAUUGAGAAACUAUGCUGCUGCGACAUCUGCGUGCAACAGUGUGUACAUGGUACAUAGUUACAUGCAGGGAGUCGUCUAGCGGGCGAAGUUUAGCUUUAUCAAAGCUGUGAAUCGCGUUUACUGAAGGGACUUGCUGCACAUGCGAAAAAGUUGAUUCUUUUUUGCGUGUGCAGGUGUGUCACAGGAGGUAAGCGCUUCGCCAUCAAUGGAAAACAUAGGUUAUCUGACCCGUCUUGAAACACGGACCAAGGAGUUCAAAUGGCACGCGAGUCUUUGGGUGAAAACACCCGAAGGCACAGUGAAAUGCAAACGUAUCGUUAUUUGUGGUUGUUCCAUGGUGACGCGAUGAGCUACUUAUGCUGUAUGGCAUUCGUAGACURGAAGCGUGAUGU